rnacentral:Y_RNA from 1 species
GGCUGGUCCGAGUGCAGUGGUGUUUACAACUAAUUGAUCACAAUCAGUUACAGAUUCCUUUGUUCCUUCUCCACUCCCACUGCUUCACUUGACCAGCCUCUA